CCUACGGGAGGCAGCAGUCGAGAAUCAUUCACAAUGGGGGAAACCCUGAUGGUGCGACGCCGCGUGGGGGAAUGAAGGUCUUCGGAUUGUAAACCCCUGUCAUGUGGGAGCAAAUUAAAAAGAUAGUACCACACGAGGAAGAGACGGCUAACUCUGUGCCAGCAGCCGCGGUAAUACAGAGGUCUCAAGCGUUGUUCGGAAUCACUGGGCGUAAAGCGUGCGUAGGCUGUUUCGUAAGGCGUGUGUGAAAGGCGCGGGCUCAACCCGCGGACGGCACAUGAUACUGCGAGACUAGAGUAAUGGAGGGGGAACCGGAAUUCUCGGUGUAGCAGUGAAAUGCGUAGAUAUCGAGAGGAACACUCGUGGCGAAGGCGGGUUCCUGGACAUUAACUGACGCUGAGGCACGAAGGCCAGGGGAGCGAAAGGGAUUAGAUACCCUAGUAGUC
rnacentral:rRNA from 1 species